UGAGGAAUAUUGGUCAAUGGGCGCGAGCCUGAACCAGCCAAGUAGCGUGAAGGAUGACUGCCCUACGGGUUGUAAACUUCUUUUAUAAAGGAAUAAAGUGAGGCACGUGUGCCUUUUUGUAUGUACUUUAUGAAUAAGGAUCGGCUAACUCCGUGCCAGCAGCCGCGGUAAUACGGAGGAUCCGAGCGUUAUCCGGAUUUAUUGGGUUUAAAGGGAGCGUAGAUGGAUGUUUAAGUCAGUUGUGAAAGUUUGCGGCUCAACCGUAAAAUUGCAGUUGAUACUAGAUAUCUUGAGUGCAGUUGAGGCAGGCGGAAUUCGUGGUGUAGCGGUGAAAUGCUUAGAUAUCACGAAGAACUCCGAUUGCGAAGGCAGCCUGCUAAGCUGCAACUGACAUUGAGGCUCGAAAGUGUGGGUAUCAAACAGG
rnacentral:rRNA from 1 species